rnacentral:rRNA from 1 species
GAGUUUGAUCCUGGCUCAGGAUGAACGCUAGCGGCAGGCCUAACACAUGCAAGUCGAGGGGUAGAACACUUCGGUGUUUGAGACCGGCGCACGGGUGCGUAACGCGUAUGCAAUCUGCCUUGUACUAAGGGAUAGCCCAGAGAAAUUUGGAUUAAUACCUUAUAGUAUAUAGAUGUGGCAUCACAUUUAUAUUAAAGAUUUAUCGGUACAAGAUGAGCAUGCGUCCCAUUAGCUAGUUGGUAUGGUAACGGCAUACCAAGGCAAUGAUGGGUAGGGGUCCUGAGAGGGAGAUCCCCCACACUGGUACUGAGACACGGACCAGACUCCUACGGGAGGCAGCAGUGAGGAAUAUUGGUCAAUGGGCGCAAGCCUGAACCAGCCAUGCCGCGUGCAGGAUGAAGCGUCUAUGGUGUGUAAACUGCUUUUGUACGGGAAGAAACAGCUCUUCGUGAAGAGCCUUGACGGUACCGUAAGAAUAAGGAUCGGCUAACUCCGUGCCA